AUACACGCUAAGAACGGGAGUAGUAGGGAAUGACGGUGAACAGAGAGCUGCGGGGUGGUGCGACGCAGUCACCGAAAGUCUUGAAUCUCGCCCGGGAGCGGAGCGGCGGAAAUAAGAGUACGCUGCCUACGGCUGUCCCCGUUAUCGGACCUUUCCAGAUAUCCUGACUCCCUCAGGAUGGACCGGGAAGAAGAGCUGGACGCAGCUUAAUGGCUUGAUUAUAUGAAUAGCCUAUGCGUCAAAAAGAGUGGUACCGCGGAGGGGUAACCCGCCGUCUCUUUA
rnacentral:ncRNA from 1 species